AGCAGAGAGCAGUGAAGGGAUGCAGAGGAGAAUGGAGGGAGCCAAAUAACCCCUCUGUCUGUGUACUCUUUCACUCUUUCCUUUCAUUUCUUUCUCCCUCCUGUUUGCAGGCGGACAGUCCUGAAGAUGACUCACUGUGGAAUUUUUUUCCAACUCAAAUUCUUUGCAAUUUCUCUCUCUCUCCCUCUCUCUCUUUCAUUUUUUAAUCCAGUAAUGCCACAGGGUGUCCUAGAGGGCCCUGGAGAAUUUCUGUAGAGAGGCAUUUGAGAGAGAGCUGAAAAAAAGAAGAGUGGGACCGGGAAAAGAGGCUGAAAGAAGAGAAGCAGGAACAGGAGGAAAGGAAUGUGGCUCUGAGGACGGAAGAGCACCUGCUGCCCUUCACAACCUAUUUCCUGGGCUAAAGAAAUGAUAGCGAGGAAAAGGCCACUGAAGAGAAGAAAAAGACUGCACAGAGAAUCUCUUUUCCAACCCUGACAUGAUGUACAGUACUUCUAAAUGAAGUGAAUUCUUCUCUGUGAUGCCACAUGGAAGUCAGUUUUGGGGGAAAGUUUAAACUCCUCUUUUUUACAUUCCACUCACCAAGCCAUGCUGCAUGCUUCAAGUCUUAUACUCUCUGUCUGUGUCACACAUGAUCGCACACAGAAGAUGUGGAAAUGCAGGUAAGUGUGUUUUUUCAUCUUGCUUCCUAUUUUUGGCCGCAGCCCACCAUCAACCUUUGUAAUGAAGGAAAUUUAUAUAAAAAUAUACUAGAAUAUGACAACUUAUGACAGUAAAGUUCAACAAGUGGUAAAUAAGGUUAUAACCAGGUAGAUUUUUAAGUUUAAAUGUUGUUGGUCUUGGUGACCACUGACCAUACCUUUACCUUCAUUGCUUAUUUUGACUGCAAUCAAUUUGAACCAAAAUCUCAGCAGGUUCUUGUGUAGCCUAAUAGCGUUUCUUCAUUAGCACAAUGAAUUUGACUAUUCUCCUAUAACAGCAUGUCCAAAAAUGUUUUUUUUUUCUUAUACCACAGCAAUUUGUGAAUUGGUAGCAAUUUUUUAUUUAUGUAAAAAAAUGUCUUACAUUUAUAGUUACAUAUGGAAACAAGUUAGUACCUGUUAUCACUUAGGUUAUAGCAGAUAUAAACAGUCAAACCCUUCUUCUAUAAAUUCUAAAUAAAAAUCUCCUUAUAGAAAGCUUCACUAUUUCAAUGAUUAUAAAUUUUUUUGUUUUUUCCCAUCCAAUCCAAUCCAUUUAUUAUUAAUCAUAGUUAUUACUAUAGAAGUGAUAACAUAUUAGAAUGAGAGCAUUCACAUAAAACCAUGAUUUGCCUUGCAGUUGGCACUACUGACAAACUGCUGUUAUAGGAAAUUAAUCAACACUUUUUAACCAAUCGGAUUUUGAGAAUUCAACAGCACUUUUGUCUAAAAACAACGUUUGCAAACUAAAAAUAAACUUUUAUAGCUAGUCUACUCUUACCAAACACAACAUUAAUGUGAUUCAUCUAUGUACAAAAAAAGUUUACCUUCAUCCAUAACUAUCUCCUCUUCUCCAUGUCAUGGUUUUAUUCCGAUUAAACAACAAAAAGGUUCAUCAUAGCAGUGUCCAUCAGCUGAGCCCUUUAAAGACAUCCAUUUAGAAGGGACCUUUGAAGUGUGCUACUUCACAUAUUAAUGAAACAUGCCCUAUAUAAUGUCCAUAUGAAUACUUAAAUUCUCAGGAAGGAUUGGAUCAGAGAUAAUAGACUCAUAGGCAGCCAGAGAUUUGCAUAGGAAAGGCAAUUAUGGUUGUGUUACUAACAUCAGGAUCUGGGCUUAAUGCACAGAUGGAGAAGUUUGGCCGGCUUUCAAGAUUAAAACAUCACCUGUUUUUUUGGAGAAAACAACAAUGAAUUUAAUUAGAGAAAGAAAAUGUGAUCAUAUUUGUUGAAGAGCUUUAGCCAUAACAAUAGUUUCCCACCAAUUACAAUUCAUUUCAUAGACAAAAAGCAGCCCUUUCUUGUCAACACAAUUUCUUGCCAGAAAGCUUUUUCUUUUCACAAAAGCAUCACUUUCCCAUAUCAACUGGUCUUUAGCUUCUGUAAUUACAUAACACAGAUCUGCAAAUAACAUGAAAAGUCUGCUGGUAAUGUCACAUCUGAGUGAAUAUUUACACACUUUACAGACUGCAAAAAAUGUCUUAAAUUGAGAAAAUGUCAUGAAGGAAAACACUAAAUUUAACAAUCAUCCUUGUUAGACCAAUUUCAAUCAAGUUAUUGACUGGGAAAUAAUUAGAUUUCUUCAAAUAUUCUUUUCUGUAAAUAUUCUUUAGGUUUGUUCAGAUAUUCUUCCUCUGAUAUCUCAGGAUUUGAUCUGCUAAUCUGAGCACAAGAAUGUUCUAAUUGGCUAAAUUCAUUUAAUAUGAUCAUCAGUUCUGAAAAAAAUAUAUUUAAACUAUAUGAAUGUUAGCACUAAAUACAAAAUUCUUACCAUUAUCAAGGUCUUUAGCAAUUACUCUGAAGCCACUUGUGCAAUAGCUCAUGAAUAUUAUAAUAGGAUUUUGGAGCACUGUAUAAUAUCAGAUUUCUAAAAAGAAAAUAACAAUAAGUCUUAUGUUCAAACUCCUUCACCAUGUUUCCUUUGAAUGUGUGUGUGCAUACAAAUGAUGUGUGUGUUCUGUUCUUCCCAAUCUGCUGAAAUGAUCAACGACCUGUAUUUCUCACAGGACAUAUGCUCACUAUCCACUUCAAUAGGAACACCUGUACACCUGAACAUUCAUGUAACUAUCCAAUCAACCAAUCAUGUGGCAGCAGCACAGUGCAUAAAAUCAAGCAGAUAGAGGUCAAGAGCUUUAGUUAAUGUUCACAUCAAACAUCAGAAUUGGGAAAAUAUGUGACUCCAGUUACUUUGACCACGGCAUGAUUGUUGGUGCCAGAAACUGGACAGGCAAAGCAAAGUUUUUCCAAUCUUCAACGGUCUAAUUUCUGUGAUCAUGUGCCCACUGUAGCCUCAGAUUCCUGUUCUUGGCGGAGGAGUGGAACUCAAUGUGGUCUUUAGCUGUUGCAGCCCAUCUGUCUCACGGUUCAGCAUAUUGUGCAUUCUGAAUCUUCGGCAUCAUUCAGAACUGCCGCUCACUGGAUGUUUUUUUGUUUUUCGCCCCUUCUGUGUAAAUGCCAGAGACUGUUGUUUGUAAAAAAAAUCACAGGAGAUUAGCAGUUUCUGAAAUACUCAAACCAGCCUCUCUGACACCAAUAACCACGCUACAGUCAAAGUCACUUUUCCCCAUUCUGAUGUUUGUGGUGAACAUUAACUGAAGCUCUUGACCUGUAUCUGUAUGAGUUUGACGAUGUUGCUGCCACAUGACUUUAUGAUUGGAUAACUGCAUGCAUUAGGUGUACAGGUAUUCCUAAUAAAGUGGUCAGUGAGUGUGUGUAUAUAUAUAAAACAACAUUAUUUUAUUCGUUGUGCUAGAUUUUGCAUUAAGCCUUCUUUAACUUGUUUCAUUUUGCCUGAUGGUUUUGUGGCUACUGUUUGUUGGACUCCUGUGCAUCAGCACUUGCAUAGCUUAACACUGUUUUGUUGUUUCUCUCUCUCUCUCUCUCUCUCUCUCGCUCUUUCUCUCUCUGCUUUUCCUACUAUCUUGAACUUGUUUCUGGUCAGUUGAUAAAAACUAUUUUUCAGCGUCA